rnacentral:rRNA from 1 species
UACGUAGGGUGCGAGCGUUAAUCGGAAUUACUGGGCGUAAAGCGUGCGCAGGCGGUCCGUUAAGACAGUCGUGAAAGCCCCGGGCUUAACCUGGGAACUGCGAUUGUGACUGGCGGGCUAGAGUGUGUCAGAGGGGGGUGGAAUUCCACGUGUAGCAGUGAAAUGCGUAGAGAUGUGGAGGAACACCGAUGGCGAAGGCAGCCCCCUGGGCCAAUACUGACGCUCGUGCACGAAAGCGUGGGUAGCAAACAGG